rnacentral:lncRNA from 1 species
CCAGAGCAGAGUUGCCAUAGCAGAGCUUCCAGAGCAGAGCUGCCAGAGCCAGAGCUAACCAGAGCAGAGCUUCCAGAGCAGAGGGUCAGAGCCACGUUGCCAGAGCAGAGAUGCCAGAGCCAGUGCUAACCAGAGCAGUGCUAACCAGAGCAGAGCUAACCAGAGCAGAGGUUCCAAAGCAGAGGGCCAGAGCCAAUUUGCCAGAGCAGAGAUGCCAGAGCAGAGCUGCCAGAGCAGAGAUGCUAGAGCUAAGUCAUUAAAGUCAGAGCCAGAGCCAAGUCAUUAAAGUCAGAGCCAGAGCCAAGUCGCCAGAUCCAGAGUCAGAGCUAAGUCAUUAGAGUUAGAGCGGGAUGAUGAGGAUAAAAUCCAGCUCAGUAAUUAGGGGACAACAACCUGACAAGUUAUAAUCUAAUAAUAGCCUUAAUUAGUUUAAUGGCGAGCAUGCGGAAUAGAUGACCAAACGAAUUUACUACUUUACCCCAACUGUAAUGCCUAUAAAUACCUACGAUGAUGAAAUAAAGCACACGCUCUCUCUUUUACUGCUUUAAGAACUCUUCUCUUUCCUUUCUCUCUAGAGUUUGAACUAAUAAAAUUACAUAUAUAAAUAAAAUAUCUAAAUUGUUAGAGUUAUGUUUGUUAGAUAGUUGACAAUUGGAGUCAUGGUUGAAUAUAAUUUCAUAUUUGAUGAUGGUCUCUCAAACUCUAGAUGAGAUGAUGCUCAAAACUCCAGACGAGAUGAUGCUCUUUCAAGUUUUAGACGAGAUGAUUCUCUUUCAAGUUUCAAACAAGAUGAUGCUCAGAAGUUAGAGGUGAUCUGUCAAGUUUGCGACGAGCUGAUGCCCACAACUUGGUUGGUCUUAAAACUCCAAAUGAUACGAUGUUCGAUAAAUCAGUUAUGGUCUUUUAAAUAUCAGGCGAUAUUAUUUUCAUAAUUAGUUAUGCUUUUAGAAGUUCGGAAUUAUAUGAUACCUAUGUCAAAUUUAUAUGUAUUUCUACUCUCUCUUUUUUUUCUUACGCGUCAACUUUUUAUAAAAUUUCAUAUGAAAAUUAAUGGGCAUUUUUAUGAUCUCAACAAAAUUAAUAAUUUAAUUGCUAAAAGUUGUUGACAUUAAUAUAAUUUAAAAUGUAUUACUAAUUUAAUUUAAUUUAAUUUAAUUUAAUUAAUUAUAUAAAUAAUUUACAGAAAAAAUUAUUUUAUAUAAUUAUCAUAAGAAUAACAUAAAAUAUAUAAAUUACAAGAAAAUAUGUACCCGUCGAAUUUCGACGGGUAAUACACUAGUAAUAAUAAUGGGGUUAUCCAAAAUUGCACAAUUUUGCAUCAUAGUAUUUAAUUCUGACACCAGAUCAUGCAAUUUUGGCAUGAUUCUCUUUUUUUGCAUCACAUUUGCGGGUUCGCACAAGUAUGAACAAAAUUCUUAUUAUUAAAAAAAAAAUGAAUAAAAGAUAUUCGCUGAUUUACCGACUAACUGCAUUCCAUAGCAAUUUAUUAAUAGAUUACCGACGUGUUUAUCCCGCAACAAAUACCGAUGAAUUUUCGGAGUGACUACUGAAGAAAGAGAUUAAUCGAGAAUUUACCAAAUAAUCAAAGAAAUAAAAGGUUGAAUAUUAAAUUUAUUUUUAUACCACUCAGUAAAUUUGCGAAAUAAAAAGAUAUUCACCCUCUAUUAUUUUGUUGAUUUUUAUUAGUAGUGAAAGAUUCACUAAUUCGUGGACAUGUGGUGAGAUUGUAUCAUAAUAUGUUUUACACUGAGGAGUAACAUCCAUGUAAACACAAACAUUAAAGAAAUAAAUCAAAACAACAACUCGGUAACCCAGUUCGGUGAAACACCAACAUCUAGGGGGACUUCGCCUGGGAAAAAGGAUCCACAAAAUGUUUUUUGUGAAAAAUCUAAGUAUUGGCAUUAUCUAGAGACAUAUGUUUUUUUGUGAAAAAUCUGGAAUUGGCUUGUUGAAUGUUUGGUUGGAAAUGAGCAUCGUGGAACCACCUCUUUAUUAGAUUUAUAUGGAUUUUGCUUGAGGACAAACAAAAAGCUAAGUGUAGGGGAGUUGAUUUAUGCCUAAUUGUUCUUAUUUUGGGGGUUUGAUUGUGCUAAGCCUGAGUUAAUUGUUCUGGAAUUUGGUGCGUUUAUGAGUCUGUUUGAUGCUUUGUAGGAGGUUUUGAUAAAAUAGGAGGAAGAAUGCUAUGUUGGAGAUUUUGGAUCAAAAAUUGCUUAUUUUGGUUCAAAGUGGUGCCCAGCGCUGAUAAUCACUCGCCAGCGCUGAUAAGGCCGCAGCGCUGACAAUCCCUAGCCAGAGCUGACCGCAUCCAGAGCUAACCAUAGCCAGAGCGGACCGCAUCCAGAGCUGACAAUCCCUCGCCAGCGCUGACAACACUCCCUAAAGCGGUCGAGGCAGCCAGAGCUGAACAAAUUCGACAGAGCUGAAUUCAUUCACCAGAGUAGGUUUCCAGAGCUGAAUUCCAGCGCUGACCAAAACUCGCCAGAGCUGCCUAUGUCUCCAGAGCUGCCUACGUUUCCAGAGCUGCCUACUUCUACAGAGCUGGCAAUCACGCACAAGGUCGCCAGAGUUGGCAAUCACUCGCCAGCGCUGCGGUAACUUGUCGAGCACUUUUUCCCAACCUGCACUCUCCUGUGCGCGCACGACUCUAUCUUUUAAGCCUAGAUUUGAUGGGCCCUCUUGAUUGACUUUAGGGUUGAUGAAAGGCAGUCUAUAAAAAGGACUUAACGGUUCAUGAUCAAGAUCAAUCUUCUGCCUCCGACAUAAAUCAUCUCAGCCUCCGGCACCAAAAACAGUUUAGGGUUUUUCUAGUUUUCAAAGUUCUUUAAGUUUUCCGAGAUUUUAUUUUAGUUAGCUUUCAAUUUUUGUUUUGCUUUAAUUUUUCGUUUCGAAGUUGUAAUCAGUGACAGUGAUUCAUUCUCGCGACGUUAUUGGUAUUUCUUAUUCACGUUAACUUCUUUGAAUUUGCAUGAAUUAUGUUGAGUUUUCAAUUUGCAAUUUCGUUUCUGUCAAAUUAGAUUAGAAAUUUUUAUUUACAGUUAUUUAAAUUGUUAGCGUAGUAGUUUUUAGUUCCUGGUAGCCUUUACUUUAUCUUUUAAUUCUGCCUAGGGUUUAAUAGUUUAUUCUCUAAGUUUAGUUUUAAGUUGAGUUUUCAAUUCCAAGCAUUAGUUUAAUUUAAUAAUCGAACCUAAAAUUUACUGCUUUCGCUGUGGUACAAUUAGGAGCCCUGUUGAAUCUUCCUUGAGAGAUGACUUGGGUUAGCUUACACACUACAAUAGAUCUCGUUCGAUUGCGAGUCAAUCUAGCAUAGUGUUUAGGUUGAGUUAGACGUUUUAAUUGUGUCACUUUGUUUUUUGUUUUUAUUUGCUUUGUUUAUUUUUUCUUUUUCUUGUUUCUAUCACUCUCUCCCUCCGGUGCGUUUAAUCCGUGUGUUAAGUGCUGUGUAUGCAGGGACGCCGUAGUCUGAAAAGAAAACUAGUGUCUCCUUUGGACAACACUAACACGGGUAUUUUCAGAAAGAACUGCUGCAAAGAAGUUUUUGAAGAACGAGAGGAAGGAUCUGAGUUUGACUCUGAGGGAAAGGAGCGUGACAGAGCAGACGCUUUCUACUCUGACUCUGAGGGAAAUGAGCGUGACAGAGCAGACACUUUCUACUCUGACUCUGAGGGAAAAGAGCGUGACAGAGCAGACGCUUUCUACUCUGACUCUGAGGGAAAGGAGCGUGACAGAGCAGACGCUUGCUACUCUGACACCACUCUGGAGGAUACUGCAGAUACUGAAUCGAAUCAUUCUGAAGAAUCCAGAGGUUAUCAAACAGAGAAAGAAGAAGAGCCAGCCAACCACAGCAAAGAAGAGAUGGCGCAAAACAAUCUGCAGUACAUGGGAGACUUCACCCGACCCGUCAUAGGGAACACUAACACUUCGGCUAUUGUGCUCCCUACCGCCAUAAGAAAUUACAACUUGAAGCCAAAUGAUUCAAGUUUGCUACCUCUUUUCUACGGGAUGUCGAAUGAGGAUGCCCUGCAGUUCAUUCGUGAUUUUUGCACUCAAGUGCAAACCAUCCCACUACUGGAUUUUCCCGAAUUCAAAAGACAUCAAGAAAAAUUGUCAUAUACUUAUAGCAUCUGGAUUUUCCCUAGAAACAAUCAAUCAUAGUAGACUGCUUUCGAAACAUGAUCAAGAAGGCAAAGGACGAGAAAUACAAAUAUCCACAUAUCGAGACACUAGUAAAUAGAAGAUAACUAUAUACGACUAAUCCUAACAACAGCAGUCUCAAGCAAAUCACAAGAAGCAGAGCAAAAUUUCGGUUAUGUACGAGAGUUUAGGACAAAGUACAUGGACCUCUGGACGGUGUCAUACUUAGACAAAUUCCAACAUCGCAAUUAAUCAAAUACCCUCUCUUAAAGUGCAACAAAUAUGUCAUGUAGAAGAGUUUUUACUAAGCAUUCAUAUGAAAAAUUACCCUUGUAAAUCAUGGAAUUUGAUGAAAAAGAUAGCCAUAACUUAUCAUUGUUUCUACUGUAAGAGUACUUUCCCACCAAAGUACGGAUUAAAAACACUUAGAGCACCUCCAGCGCUUGUGUCGAGCGCUGGAUCGACCCGCGUCGAGGAGGGGAGCGGCGCACUGGAGACCCGGCCAGAUGCGAAGCCGUGGUGAGGCAGAGACCCGGGGCGAAGUCGAGAGCUGCCUGGCGCGUCCGGCGGACGCGCCCAUUUAAAAAAAAAAUUGAAAUUCAUUUUGUUUUUAAAAAAUGACCGUUUGAUAUUUAUUAUUAUUUUUUUUAAAUGACCGUUGGGGCCAACGGCUGAAUUCAACAUUUUUUUCCCUUUAUCUAUAUAUAUCACAACUUAAUUCCAUUCAUUUCAUUAUCUAAAAAUCAUCUCCACAUCAAAAAAUUCUCUACAAAAAAUGUCUUCCUCCUCAUCAAGCCACGAGGACGAGCGACGUGCUGAAGAAUUUUCCAAUCUUGUGCAAGAAUUUAACCAAAUUGUUCAAGAUAUUGGUGAUCCAGAUGAGCAACCUCGUCGUCGGCGACAAAGCGUGGCAAAGAAGGCCUACAUUCAUCGGGACCGUGAAGCCGGCGCUCUACGUUUGCACGCGGAUUACUUUGAUGAAAAUCCGGUCUACCCCGACAACAUCUUCUGCCGCCGAUUUCGGAUGCGUCGUGCGUUGUUUUUGCGUAUCGUUAAUGCCGUCGCAUCCGAUCCAUACUUCCAACAACGCACGGAUGCACUUGGGAGGCCCGGCUUCACGCCAUUGCAAAAAUGCACUGUUGUUGUUCGUAUGCUAGCUAACGGUGGGGCAGCGGACCAAUACGACGAGUAUCUCCGGAUUGCAGAGUCCACCUCGUUGGAGUGCUUGCGCAGAUUCUGUCGAGCCAUUAUUCAACUCUUCGGCGCGGAAUACUUGAGGAGGCCGACUUCCGCUGACUGCCAACGGCUUCUAGCAAUGCACGAAGCGAAGCACGGCUUCCCGGGAAUGCUAGGGAGCCUCGAUUGCAUGCAUUGGCCGUGGAAGAAUUGUCCAACGGCAUGGCAAGGCGCAUACACUCGCGGCGAUCAGGGGGAACCGACCAUCAUCCUCGAAGUCGUCGCAUCGCAAGAUCUAUGGAUCUGGCAUGCUUUUUUUGGGACUCCUGGUUCGAACAACGACAUCAACGUGCUCAACAACUCGACGUUGUUCAACGAUCGGCUGCAAGGAAUGGGGGUGCCGGUCACAUAUCAAGUCAACAACGCCUACUACACAAGUGGGUACUACUUGACUGACGGCAUCUAUCCCAAUUGGCCUGUAUUCGUGAAGAGUCCUACACAUCCGACGGAUCCGAAGGGGAAGAGAUUCAAAGUGAUGCAGGAAGCGGCUCGCAAGGAUAUUGAACGAGCCUUCGGCGUCCUUCAAGCUCGUUGGGCAAUCGUCAAAGGCCCAUCGCGUCUUUGGAGCAAGGAGGCGAUGAGCGACAUCAUGUUCACGUGCAUCAUUUUGCACAACAUGAUCAUCGAAGACGAAGGCGAGCACGCAACACAGUGGGAAGAAGACGCCGACGAAGCUUCGAGUAGCGCCGCAUCUCAACCUCGUGCCGGUGCUCCGCCGGAUUUUCGUGCAUUUGUUGCACGACAAGCAUCCAUGCGAGACGCGGAGAUGCAUGCUCGCCUCACUUUGGACUUGAAGGAGCACAUUUGGUCUCGUUUUGGUACGAUUGAGCCCUAGAAAAUUAUUGUAAUUUUUAUUUUUUUAUUGUAUUUAAAUUAUGUCUUUAAAUUAUUGUAAUGUAGAAUUUUAAUUUUAAUAAAAUAUGAAUUUUAAAAAUAAAAGUGUAGAAAUGUGAAUUUUGUGGAAAUGGGGAUCUAAGCACCCACCUAAGACACAAUGCAUUGGAGAGGGGUGUGUCUUAGGUGGGGACCACUUCUAAGACACCCCUCUAAAACACUUGCAUUGGAAGUGCUCUUAGUAAUAAUUGGGUUUCCAAAUAAAAUAGGAGAUAGUCGCCCAAUCCCGAGUUCAGCCACAAAAAUUCAAGUGCAAUACCCAACACAUAAUCCCAAUAAAUUUGAAAACAAAAUCACGCCGGUCAUUUCACGCAGGGUUAGUUUAAGCACAUAACAAUCAUUGAGUCUUACACAAACAAUAGGAGCCUUGCUGAUCAUAGCAAGUCUUGUCACGUCCCUUUGCCUCAAGAUUGGCACACCCCCAGAGCUGAAAUCUGGGAAGAAAGCAUUUUUCCCUUAAAGUGUGCAACAAUCAUAUUAUUGACAUUAAUCACUUUCAAAUCCAGCUAAAGUAAAACAACUUUCCCAUUUCUUUUCUCUGCAAAGCAUCCGGAAACAAAAAUAAUAAAAUAAGCAAUCACUUGCCCAAAUAUGCACGCAAAUGUAAGCCCAUAUACACACAGAUUCACGAUUUUUCCAUAAAAAGUAGACCCAAUAUCUCAGGGAAAGAUUAGAGACACAUGCAUUCAGUGGAUUAAAGCUGACCCUAAGAACUGCUUGAUACUCGAACAGUCCUGCUCUGUCUCCCUAUUUCUUUAAGCUCUAAAAGAGUAACCAUAAGCAUAAAAAGGAACAAGCCUGUAUAUUUCAUACUCCACACCCAACAAACUUCAUUCCAACUGUUUGGCAAUGCUAAAUAGGAAGAAAUGCAUAUCAUGAUCAGUUAUCCACACCAUAGCCAUAUACUUUUGAAUGAAUCAUGUAUGUACUGCGCAGAUAGAACCCUAAGAAUUUCAGUACAAUUCACACUUUCGACUGAAUUACAGAAAACCCAUAACUCAAGAAGGAUAUACGAAGCAAGUGCAUAUAGCAUUUUCAUAGCGAGAUGGCAAUCAGUGCACAAUAGACAACCAUAGACUUUAGAGAACUUAUCUCGUAGAAGGAAGAGACCGAUUGCCAUGUGCCCAUCGAACCGGGAAGCAGACGACGACUCUGUUUAUUUUGGGGCCGGCUACCCCAUUCGGUCAAAGCCUAGACGACGAUGAUUCAGACAUAGAAGGAGCUAGGGCUCGAUUUCUGUAUUUCCCAAUGGCUUGGGCUCUGCAAACCUCGAACGUCCAGAUGAGGGCGGCAGAGAAGACGCUCGGUCGGUGGAGGACGGCGCCGCGAUAGAAUCUAGAGCGGAGUCCGACGAAGCCGCGAUCUGGGGACGACGGCAUCGCUUUGAUUUUUUCCCCAAUUUGCAGAUCUCAAAUCUGGAGACGUUCAUUUGUGGCUGGCGUUGGCCGUGGGCUUCACAGGUAAUCCUUAUCGUCGGGUGAAGACAAGGACAUCGCUCUAACAACAUUGCCCUAUCCUGAGAAAAUUGAAUGAGCGGUGUUUAGCCCUAU